UUGAAAAUAAAAGCAUCCAGUUACUUUAUUGUAGUAGUAAAUCAAUUCAAUUCUUCAUAUUAAUAUAGAACUUUUUACAAUGUAGAUUGUGUCAAAGCAGCGUAACAUAAAGUUCUUGUAAGCUUUAGUUGGGUUCAGUGUAAUGUAAAUUUCACUGCUGUAAGCCGAAACACUGAACACUGAAGAACAACUCCACCAAAGCACAAGUAAUAAUAACUAUACCUUAGUUAUACCUUAAUAUUAAUAACUAUGUGUGUAAAAAAGUUCAUUCUUAAGUUUUACUUUUGUAACAACUACAAAACCUGUUGAUGUAAUACAUUUCGUCAUCGUUUUCCUAUUCCAGAGCCGUUCAGAAGGACUGUACAACUCUGGCCUUGGGUGAAGUGUGUCGAGGCUAUAUGAGAGCGAGAGAGACUAACGGAAUAAAGUGAAACAGCCUCUUGAAGGGCUCUGCUUCUUUUUACAGACAGAUGGAGCAGAAAGUGAGAGAGAGGACACCUGCUGGUCCACAACGCUGCCCCCCCUCAUGCUUCUCCUUUUUCUACCUCUUUCUCUGACUCCAGCAUUAGAAUUCAGCAUCUCUUCUGCCUCGUCUGAGUGAGUGGGUUACUGAAGCGUGUCACAGUAAGAACCAGUGAAUGAUAAUGAACCGAACGUGUGCGAGAGGGAGGGGAAGAGGGAGGAGAUCCGAGAGGAUUCCUGUAAGCUGGCUCUCUUCUUGAAACGUGGACAGGGAAAGAAAGUGAGCAAGCGAGUGAGAGGACAAACGAGGUUGUCGACUGAAUCACCACCACCUCCACCACUUCACCACUCCUUUCUCGUGGCACGGGGGAGUGAGUGUGGGACGGGACGCCCCGCACUGUUCCCUCUCCCUCAUACCCGUCCUCCACCAACAGACCCACUACUCCGAAUGAAUUCAUUCAUCUUCUUCCAUCCUUUUGUCAUUUUCCUGUCAACCUCCCUCCGCUUUAUUAUUAUUAUUUAAUUUCUCUCCUUCUCUCCCCUCCCUUGUUCUCUUUUCGGAGUUCUCCCACACAUUGCUAUCCCACUCGUUUUGUCAUGACCAAGGAAGAGAAAAUGAUCGGCCGGCGAGCAAUGAGAACCAAAAAGGAACGGCGGUACGAAGAGAGCUCUGUCCGGAUGUGGAGUUCAGGACUGCAAGUAGCCGGUCCUCUCCAGGUGGAUUAUCCAAAGCAGAGAAUUUUUGAAUCCCACAGCGAAAAGAAAAGAGCCGUACUGAAAUCCUGAGGGGGGACGAAUGUUCUUGCACUUUCCUUGUAUUCAGAUAGUUCUCAACUUGUUCUGCAUUGUUUAAUUCGAUCUCUUGUUUCUUGCUUGUGUCUCCAAGCCCCCCUUUCCUCUCUCUUGUCUUCGAUUUGGGACAUUUUGGCUGCUCAUUGUGAAGAAUUCUCGGGACUGUGCUCUGAAUAGCACUUUUCAGUCUAAUUAAUUCCUUUCUGAGCCAAGAUUCGAAAAGAAGCCUUUUUUCCUCACUCGGCCUCCCUCCUUUUGAGACCAAAAUAAUUGGAGCUGUGGAUUCCACUGUAGCCGUGCCACAGGACCAAGUUGGACCAAUCUGGACACAACACCUGGUGCAUUGUUUGCAAGAGAAGCCAUUUUUCCCGUUUUCCAAAUCACUUUAUUAUCUCUCCGAGGGGGCGCAACCACCCAAGCCUUGGGCCUUAGUAAUCUGGAUAUGUUGAAGUGAAGAAAUGGAGACCUCCAAGGAGAUGAAAGUGAAAACAAUGUUUCUGAGCCCUAAUCUGAGAACUAGAUGAACUUAUCCUGAAAGGAACAAGCAGAAUGAAGGACAGAACUGAUUUGGAGACCCUUACAACCUUGUGAAUCUUCAAAUGAUACACAAAAUUAGCUGAAUCUCCCUGUCCUUCUACAUUUUGUGUCCUAACUAGAAAACAUGAAAAAACGAAACCAGCAUACCAGGAAUUGGUCUUUUGCGCUCAUUCCAAGGCACUGAAAAAACUUGGGCAAGUCUGGGAACCCUUCGUUGGGCUGUAUUGUACUUUUUCCCCAGCCUUUUCAUUGCACCCCCCAUUUUUUUCUACGUUAAGUCAUUCACAGGGGCACUUUCUCUCCCCCUCCUCCUUUCGGUAGCUGAAAGCCGCUGAUCGCUAAUCCACGGCUGUUUCAUCAGAUUCUCGUGCUGAUUUCUACAUUGAUUGGCCGUCUACUUCAGAACCUCUCCGGCUCCCUCCUCUUGCUCUUUCACUCUCCUUCAUCCACUUCUCACUCUCUCAUCCCCCUCCCUCCUUCUCUCUCUCUCUCUCUCUCUCUCUCUCACCCUGCCUCAUUGUCUCUGUGUGCGGCAACAGUGCUGCUGGAAGCCAGUCCUUUUCACUGCUCGCCAGACAGAGGAAGGCAGAGGUUUCAUAAAUCGGUGGAGAUCCAGAGAUAGCUAGACUAUGCCUCAGUUCACCUUUGCCUGCUUCUGUGGCCUUCAUGGCCUCUGUGGAAGGAAAAAGAAGAAAAAGGAGGAAGAGGAACGACCACAGCAGGACUAUGAGACUGAGGUUUGAGACGAUGCCUGGACUGGGAAGAAUCGCACGGUUUUAGUAGCUUACAAAGGGGAAAAGAUGCAAGACGUGACCUCAGUAUUGGCUCAGAUCUCAGGGCUGAGCAAUAGAGGCCAUAUCAGGACCCUGUUCAUGAUUUUAAUGUACUUACCUAUAAGACGAUCGGUUUGUUUUUGUUACACUUUCAAUCCGAGGUGCAGGGAAGUACUGGUGCACUUUAAAAAUGUACUUUCACAUUUAGCAGUCCCAAAACAUAUUUCAACCCUUUUAAAGUGUCUGAAUGCCAUUAGAAAACAUAUAUCAAGUGGCAUUUAUUAAAAAAAAAAAACUAUAUAUUAAGUGGCCUUAGCUAAUAUGUACUUACACUGAAAUUACUAAUUUGUUACAAUGUAGUUAUUGUGUAAAUACAUGUUUUUACAUUGUACUUAUGCUUAAUUAAAUAUCUGUUGAGCAUCCCUUAAACCUUAACCCAACCUUAAACCUACCCAUACCGCAAAACCUGUCCCUAAUCCAACAUGUACCCUCCUCAAGAGCACCGGAAGUGUUCUGCAAUACAUUAUGAACACCGUAAGUACAUCGUAUUUAUAUUUUAAUGCAAGUACAAAGUAGUUAAGGCCACUUAAUAUAAAGCUGUG